rnacentral:rRNA from 1 species
GACGAACGCUGGCGGCGUGCUUAACACAUGCAAGUCGAACGGAAAGGCCCUUCGGGGUACUCGAGUGGCGAACGGGUGAGUAACACGUGGGUGAUCUGCCCUGCACUUUGGGAUAAGCCUGGGCAACUGGGUCUAAUACCGAAUAUGAUCAUCAGCUUCAUGGUUGGUGGUGGAAAGCUUUUGCGGGGUGGGAUGGGCCCGCGUCCUAUCAGCUUGUUGGUGGGGUAAUGGCCUAACAAGGCGACGACGGGUAGCCGGCCUGAGAGGGUGACCGGCCACACUGGGACUGAGAUACGGCCCAGACUCCUACGGGAGGCAGCAGUGGGGAAUAUUGCACAAUGGGCGCAAGCCUGAUGCAGCGACGCCGCGUGAGGGAUGACGGCCUUCGGGUUGUAAACCUCUUUCAGCACAGACGAAGCGCAAGUGACGGUAUGUGCAGAAGAAGGACCGGCCAACUACGUGCCAGCCGCCGCGGUAA